GGGGGUUUAGUAUAAUGGUAGUAUAACAGUCUCCAAAACUGAAUGUAAGGGUUCGAUUCCUUUAACUCCCGCCA
rnacentral:tRNA from 1 species